AGUGAACGCUGGCGGUAGGCCUAACACAUGCAAGUCGAACGGCAGCACAGCAGUAGCAAUACUGUGGGUGGCGAGUGGCGGACGGGUGAGGAAUACAUCGGAAUCUACCUUUUCGUGGGGGGAUAACGUAGGGAAACUUACGCUAAUACCGCAUAAGACCUACGGGUGAAAGUGGGGGACCUUCGGGCCUCACGCGGAUA
rnacentral:rRNA from 1 species